GGAGGUGUUCUAGUCCCCCUGACUGUAACAGAAUGCCUUUUAUGUGCAACCUAAAACAGUAAUAUUCUUUUUGUGAACACUAAAUUACAUUGUAGGCCUUAAUGCUUCUAGCUAACAGGAGUUUCUUGCUAAUCUUUCUUUAAUGGAACACUUCAUGCACAUUCCUUUUUUACUUUUUAAACUGUUGAAGUAUAAUGUACACAAGGAAAAGUGCAUGAAACCUAAGCUUGAUAAUUUUUUAGGAAGUAAAUACACUUGUGUAAGUACUCCCCAGAUCAUGAAGUAGAAAAUUACCAGCACCUCAGAAAUACUUCUUGUGCUUUCCUCAGUUAUAACUCUUCUUUCUCAAAGAAGGAUUUCUUCUGAAGUGAUAAUAUAUGACUGUUAAAAUAAAAAUAUGCAAAGAGAGAAGAGAAAGAAAAAUAUUUGUAAGGAAACUGGAUAUUUUACAUUUAUCAUGAAAGCUUAAAGCUUAUUUAAUUGAGGAAAGUGCCUUUAUACUUUUAUGUGCCCCUGUCUUCUUGGGCUCACUUUUGUGUUUUAACUUGGGUAUUUCCAAAUGCUGACCACUAUCCUUUACUUUUUGCCAGAAAUGGAGUCACCUGAAACAGGACCAGGUAUGAGGAAUCUGAGGCUGUAUUUCAUGAAGGCCCUGUCGUGGUGUCAUGAGAAGGGUUUGCUUGUUGGAAGUCCAAAGGGGCUUCCUGUCCUCAGUUUUGAGGCUUUGCAGCAUUUGAUAGUGCCUCUCUCCCAGUAUGUUUUUUGUUUCUUACAUAGUAAAAUUCAGUGGGAUGUAUAUUCAUCAAAAGUAUAUUCUACUUUUAAACAAAUUAAUGUAUACCAGUAGUCUUUCCACUCUUCAUCCUUUAAAUCUUUUUCAGAAGUACUAGAUUGCAUUGUCCAACCUGAUUAGAAAUACCAAUCCCAUAAAAUGAACCAUGAAAAAAGGUACUGUGGGUAAAAACAUUUUGGAACAUGUUGCAUACAAUAUCUCUGCUUUGGAUAGUCC
ensembl:lncRNA